CUGCAUGACAGAAACAGAUGGCAACUUUCUUGUUUUGAAAUAAGAUAGCGUCAGAAAUUCCUUACACACCUGCUAAGGCUUUGAAAAUUCAUGAAUAGAUGCUAAUAGGCCAAUGGUGAAGUUGGAAAAUACUAUGGAGUUUGCAAGUUAAGAGGUGUGGGAGAAAUGAGACAACCUUUUUGCCAUAAUUCGAAUAUCUGUUGAUGCUAAAGCCAGUGCUAUUGUGAAGCAGAUCUUAACAGCUGCCGCUACACUUCACCAAAAUUAGAGCAGUCUACUUUGAACUUCAUAUACUUUCGAUCUUAUGCAGAGG